UACGUAGGUGGCAAGCGUUGUCCGGAAUUAUUGGGCGUAAAGCGCGCGCAGGCGGUCCUUUAAGUCUGAUGUGAAAGCCCACGGCUCAACCGUGGAGGGUCAUUGGAAACUGGGGGACUUGAGUGCAGAAGAGGAAAGCGGAAUUCCACGUGUAGCGGUGAAAUGCGUAGAGAUCGGGAGGAACACCUGUGGCGAAGGCGGCUCUCUGGGACGGUACUGACGCUGAGACGCGAAGCGUGGGAGCGAACAGG
rnacentral:rRNA from 1 species